AACGAACGCUGGCGGCAGGCUUAACACAUGCAAGUCGAGCGCCCCGCAAGGGGAGCGGCAGACGGGUGAGUAACGCGUGGGAAUCUACCUUUUGCUACGGAAUAACUCAGGGAAACUUGUGCUAAUACCGUAUGUGCCCUUCGGGGAAAGGAUUAUCGGCAAGGAUGAGCCCGCGUUGGAUUAGCUAGUUGGUGGGGGUAAAAGGGCCCCACCCAAGGCGACGAUCCAUAGCU
rnacentral:rRNA from 1 species